AGUGAACGCUGGCGGUAGGCCUAACACAUGCAAGUCGAACGGCAGCACAGGAGAGCUUGCUCUCUGGGUGGCGAGUGGCGGACGGGUGAGGAAUACAUCGGAAUCUACUCUGUCGUGGGGAUAACGUAGGGAAACUUACGCUAAUACCGCAUACGACCUACGGGUGAAAGCAGGGGACCUUCGGGCCUUGCGCGAUUGAAUGAGCCGAUGUCGGAUUAGCUAGUUGGCGGGGUAAAGGCCCACCAAGGCGACGAUCCGUCGCUGGUCUGAGAGGAUGAUCAGCCACACUGGAGCUGAGACACGGUCCAGACUCCUACGGGAGGCAGCAGUGGGGAAUAUUGGACAAUGGGCGCAAGCCUGAUCCAGCCAUACCGCGUGGGUGAAGAAGGCCUUCGGGUUGUAAAGCCCUUUUGUUGGGAAAGAAAUCCAGCUGGCUAAUACCCGGUUGGGAUGACGGUACCCAAAGAAUAAGCACCGGCUAACUUCGUGCCAGCCGCCGCUGUAA
rnacentral:rRNA from 1 species